UACGAAGGGGGCUAGCGUUGCUCGGAAUCACUGGGCGUAAAGGGCGCGUAGGCGGCCAUUCAAGUCAGAGGUGAAAGCCCAAGGCUCAACCUUGGAACUGCCUUUGAUACUGUUUGGCUUGAGACCGGUAGAGGUAAGUGGAACUGCGAGUGUAGAGGUGAAAUUCGUAGAUAUUCGCAAGAACACCAGUGGCGAAGGCGGCAUCCUGGACCGACAUUGACGCUGAGGCGCGAAAGCCAGGGGAGCAAACGGG
rnacentral:rRNA from 1 species